rnacentral:rRNA from 1 species
AGUAGCUUGCUACUUUGCUGACGAGCGGCGGACGGGUGAGUAAUGCUUGGGAACAUGCCUUUAGGUGGGGGACAACAGUUGGAAACGACUGCUAAUACCGCAUGAUGUCUACGGACCAAAGGGGGCUUCGGCUCUCGCCUAAAGAUUGGCCCAAGUGGGAUUAGCUAGUUGGUGAGGUAAUGGCUCACCAAGGCAACGAUCCCUAGCUGGUUUGAGAGGAUGAUCAGCCACACUGGAACUGAGACACGGUCCAGACUCCUACGGGAGGCAGCAGUGGGGAAUAUUGCACAAUGGGCGCAAGCCUGAUGCAGCCAUGCCGCGUGUGUGAAGAAGGCCUUCGGGUUGUAAAGCACUUUCAGUCAGGAGGAAAGGUUAGUAGUUAAUACCUGCUAGCUGUGACGUUACUGACAGAAGAAGCACCGGCUAACUCCGUGCCAGCAGCCGCGGUAAUACGGAGGGUGCGAGCGUUAAUCGGAAUUACUGGGCGUAAAGCGUACGCAGGCGGUUUGUUAAGCGAGAUGUGAAAGCCCCGGGCUCAACCUGGGAACUGCAUUUCGAACUGGCAAACUAGAGUGUGAUAGAGGGUGGUAGAAUUUCAGGUGUAGCGGUGAAAUGCGUAGAGAUCUGAAGGAAUACCGAUGGCGAA